GUGAGUCAUCGAAUCUUUGAACGCACCUUGCGCCUUUUGGUAUUCCAAAAGGCACACCUGUUUGAGCGUCAUGAAUACCUCAAUCCCCAUCUUUUCUUCGGAUUGAUGGGUGACUUGGAUGUUGAGCCCUGCUGUGGUAUGCUAUAUCAGCUGGCUUUAAACUUAUUAGCCAGCUCUGUACUGGAUCGGUUCGACUCGACGUGAUAAUAUUAUCGUUGAGGAUGCAUGUCUCAUGCAGCCGGAAAGUAUCAAAGCAGCUUCUAGCUUGCCUUUAGCGCACCUUUACAUUUUAGACCUCAGAUCAGGUGGGACUACCCGCUGAACUUAA
rnacentral:rRNA from 1 species